rnacentral:rRNA from 1 species
UCGAACGAUGAAGCCUUCGGGUGGAUUAGUGGCGAACGGGUGAGUAACACGUGGGCAAUCUGCCCUGCACUCUGGGACAAGCCCUGGAAACGGGGUCUAAUACCGGAUAAUACUGUGCCCCUCAUGGGGGACGGUUGAAAGCUCCGGCGGUGCAGGAUGAGCCCGCGGCCUAUCAGCUUGUUGGUGGGGUAAUGGCCUACCAAGGCGACGACGGGUAGCCGGCCUGAGAGGGCGACCGGCCACACUGGGACUGAGACACGGCCCAGACUCCUACGGGAGGCAGCAGUGGGGAAUAUUGCACAAUGGGCGAAAGCCUGAUGCAGCGACGCCGCGUGAGGGAUGACGGCCUUCGGGUUGUAAACCUCUUUCAGCAGGGAAGAAGCGAAAGUGACGGUACCUGCAGAAGAAGCGCCGGCUAACUACGUGCCAGCAGCCGCGGUAAUACGUAGGGCGCAAGCGUUGUCCGGAAUUAUUGGGCGUAAAGAGCUCGUAGGCGGUCUGUCACGUCGGGUGUGAAAGCCCGGGGCUUAACCCCGGGUCUGCAUUCGAUACGGGCAGACUAGAGUGUGGGUAGGGGAGAUCGGAAUUUCCUGGUGUAGCGGUGAAAUGCGCAGAUAUCAGGAGGAACACCGGUGGCGAAAGCGGAUCUCUGGGCCAUUACUGACGCUGAAGAGCGAAAGCGUGGGGAGCGAACAGGAU